AGAGGAGAGUCGAUUUCCCCGAGAUAGACAUGGGUCUAAUGGAUAUUCCCAGGCUUGUGUCUGGUUUAGGUUAAUUGACCUAGGAAGAUUCAGGCUCCUGGCCUCGCAUGUUGAUUGGACGGCAAGACUCAUAGGUUUGGCUGGUGAAGAUCACUUGUAUCUGUUGAAAUCUGCUGUAGGUGAUCUGUUGCCCCGCUCAGAAGCAGGAAUUCUUGAUCUCGGAUUCGCAUUGCAGUGAUAAGC
rnacentral:lncRNA from 1 species